rnacentral:rRNA from 1 species
GACAGAGGGUGCAAACGUUGUUCGGAAUUACUGGGCGUAAAGCGCGUGUAGGCGGUCCGAUAAGUCGGGUGUGAAAGCCCUGGGCUCAACCCAGGAAGUGCACUCGAAACUGCCGGGCUAGAGUAUCGGAGAGGUUGGUGGAAUUCUCGGUGUAGAGGUGAAAUUCGUAGAUAUCGAGAGGAACACCGGUGGCGAAGGCGGCCAACUGGACGAAUACUGACGCUGAGACUCGAAAGCGUGGGGAGCAAACAGG